UUAUCGCUCUGGGAUGAGUCUGCGGGCAAUUAGCUUGUAGGUAGGGUAAGAGCCUACCAAGGCAACGAUUGUUAGCUGGNCUGAGAGGGUGGUCGGCCACAUUGGGACUGAGACACGGGCCAGACUCCUACGGGAGGCAGCAGCUAAGAAUAUUCCGCAAUGGGGGAAACCCUGACGGAGCGACGCCGCGUGAUAGAUGAAGGCUUUACAGGUUGUAAAUAUCUUUUAUAAGGGAAGAAGGUAUUCCACAGGCAGAGUAUUGANCGGUACCUUAUGCAAUAAGCCCCGGCGUAAUUACGUGCCAGCAGCCGCGGUAAUACGUAAGGGGCGAGCGUUGUUCGGAGUUAUUGGGCGUAAAGGGUAUGUAGGCGGAGUAUUAAGUCAGAUGUGAAAUUUAAAGGCUCAACCUUUAACCUGCAUUUGAUACUGAUGCUCUUUGAGUUCGGGAGAGGAUACUGGAAUUCCUGGUGGAGGAGUGAAAUCUUUAGAUAUCAGGAAGAACACCAAUGGCGAAGGCAGGUAUCUGGCCCUGAACUGACGCUGAGGUACGAAAGCCAGGGUUGCGAACGGGAUUAGAUACCCCGGUAGUCCUGGCAGUAUACGAUGUAUACUGGGUAUAUCAGGUAUCGAUCCUGGUGUGCCGUAGCUAACGCGUUAAGUAUACCGCCUGGGGAGUAUGCUCGCAAGAGUGAUACUCAAAGGAAUUGACGGGGGCCCGCACAAGCGGUGGAGCAUGUGGUUUUAUUCGACGAUACGCGAGGAACCUUACCAGGGUUUGACAGUAGGACGGUUGGAGUAGAGAUACUCUUUCCCUUCGGGGCGUCCUAACUAGGUGCUGCAUGGCUGUCGUCAGCUCGUGUCGUGAGAUGUUGGG
rnacentral:rRNA from 1 species